rnacentral:rRNA from 1 species
UACGUAGGGGGGCAAGCGUUGUCCGGAAUCAUUGGGCGUAAAGCGCGUGUAGGCGGCUUGGUAAGUCUGCUCUGAAAGCCCGGGGCUCAACCCCGGGAGGCGGGUGGAUACUGCCGAGCUCGAGUCCGGAAGAGGCGAGUGGAAUUCCUGGUGUAGCGGUGAAAUGCGCAGAUAUCAGGAGGAACACCUAUUGCGAAGGCAGCUCGCUGGGACGUAACUGACGCUGAGACGCGAAAGCGUGGGGAGCAAACAGG